ACAGGCAGUACGCUGAAUGCUCCAUCGGGAGCGCGGGGGAACCAUAUUCGUGAAUCUCUUUCUUCGGGGUGAGAGCCGAAGGACUGGGACACUUGGGGUGAAUCGGUAGAGAAGGACCAUGGCCUUCUCCAUACUGUAGGGCGACUCUCACUGCCCGAAUCCGACAGCUAACCUCGCAAGCGUUGUGGAGAGAGGAG
rnacentral:sRNA from 2 species